GCCGUUGUAGUGCAAUGGUAGCAUGUUGCUUUCCUAAGGCAAAGGUUGCAAGUUUGAGUCUUGCUGUUGGUU